GGUCUGUUAGUUUUUUGGAAUUUUUGCUUGUGGAGUAAACGGUCUGGGACCU
rnacentral:tRNA from 1 species